CCCUCACAGGCACUCUCGGCUUUUAUUGUUUACUCUGGCAGGAAAGAGCCUAGUGAAUCUGGUCAGUUUGGGGGCCUUUCUGGAUACAUUUGAGUUGUUUACCUUCCUGCUUUAGGAGCUUCCCUGCGGGAUGGAAUAUUUCAGUCUCAGAGGAAACUGUUGUACAACAGAGGGUUGGACUCAGAAGUGGUAGAUUUCCUGCACCAGCUGCGUGGGUCGCAGCAAGUGGAUGUCACCACUGAGACCUGGAAAGAGGGGUAAGCAAACGAGGCUCACUUUAAAAGGAAGGGUGGAGGAUUGAAACAUUGGUAUGUACCAUGGGCUAUUCUACUGCAAAAGAUCAGUUGGCCACUGAGGAACAGGAAGUAAGUUAAGUAAGCAAAGAACAGGAAUUAAGUAAGCAAGGAACAGGAAUUAAGUCUAGCCCCGCACUCACAUUUGUGGACACCAUAGCUGAAGCAAGUCCUUGAUUUCUGACGGGAGGAGGUCUGAAUAUUACAAGUAAAGAGAGAUUUACAAAAGAUGUUGCAAGAGAAGGGCGCAGAUAAAUUUCCUACAGCUGCAUUUUCUCUAUGGAGACUUGUGAAAGAUGCUCUUCUGAAAGUGAAAGUGAAAGAGCAACUUUCAGAGUGGGAGCAAGCAUUUGCUAAUGCUUAGGAGGCAGAGAGGAAUGAAUCUUUGAAAGGGGAAAAGGAAGAGGUGGAGGAUAUUUGUGAAAGAUUUCAUGGAUGAGAAAGAAGAUGAUGAUCUUGCCUCUGUCUCAGAUUUAGUAGAGGGGGAAGAGCAGCUA